rnacentral:lncRNA from 1 species
UCUAUCCAGAAGGGACCAUCUGUUGUGUCUACAUACAUUAAUUCUACAUACAUUAAUUCUGCCGAAACAUGAAUGUGAAGUGUGCAUAUUUCUUCAAAAUGUGUUAUUUCCAAGCGGGGAGGAACUGCAUAAAGCAAUAAAUUUCAAAAAACAUUAUUUCCCCUUUAGUAAGAAAUAAUAUCGUUCUUCCCUCACCAAAAUGAGUUAUUUCCAACAUUUUGAAUAUAACCAAUGUGUAAUAUUAUCAUAUUACUUUCUGGCAAUGCUGAUUAUUUUUGUAUGUCAUUUGCAUAUGCGAAUGUUGAAAGAUUUCCUUACUACUACUACAAAAAUGGAUAUACCAUGUGAAGUCAGGGAAUUAAAUACAGGUUCCAGAAAGAGGAAAAGGUGUUCAGGAAAAGAAAAAAGGAUGCAACGAUCUGUAAAGUGAGUAUGCAUUUAAAAACUCCUUGUAUUUUUCUCUCAUUAAUUUGAAUACAGAUAUUAUAUUCUCAAUCUAUGAUUAUCUGUUACCUUUGUGAGGAUGAUGGAAAUGAUUUAAAAUGUAUUGUUCACAGAUACCAAGGUAGUAGUCCACUUAUGGUUGGUUUUGAUGAAACUUGCCACCACAGGGGCUCCAAAUUUGAAUGUGCCAAAUUUCAAGUCAGUGAUUUGCUGAGAAACAGGCGUCUCUUUUAUUCUAAGACUGGCUAGAUAAAUCAAGAUGUCUACAACAUCAAGUGAAACCAGAACAGACUUCAAGGACAGUACAUUCUAGAAGAAAGAAAGACUGCAAAAUUCAGUUGUUAAUUUCCUCUUAACCAAGGAAAGGAAACACGUUAAACUUUGUCAGAACUUAUUUUUGAAAGUAUUUUCUCUGGGUAAAACUAGAUUACGAAAUAUUUGUAAAACUGCUCAUGAAUGUGGAGUUAUAAAAGAAAGAAGAGGUGGAGACAGAAAGACAAAGAUAUUUGCAAGAAAGCACGAUAGCAUUAAGAAUUUUUAUACGCAAGCUACCAGCAAAGGAGAGUCAUUAUAAUCGCCUUAAAAGUAAAAGAAUCUAUCUGUCAUCUGAUCUGAGCAUUAGCAAAUUGCACUGCAUUUAUAACUCCACUGUGGAAGAAAGCUUAAAGGUUAAGCAGAGUUUUUUCAGAUCAGUCUUUAAUAAUGAUUUCAACAUAGGAUUUAAGAGUCCAGCUUCUGAUGCUUGCAGCCUGUGUGUACUUUUAACAAAUAAAAUAAAAUCUGAAAAUGAUACAAACAAAUGAAAGGAAUUUAUGAUAAAAAAACGGAUACAUACAUUAAGAGCCAAUGCAUUUUGUUCGUUGAUUACAGAAUCUCCAGAAGGAAGAAUCAGUUUUUGUUUUGACCUGCAACAAAUUCUUCCAUUGCCAAAAACACCCAUCCAGGAAAGCUUUUACGAUAGACAAAUUAAUUUUUAUAAUUUAUGUAUUGUUGACAUGCAAUCAAAAUACCCAAAUUUUUUUUGUUGGACUGAAAACCAAAGUGGAAAAGGAUGUACUGAAAUCGGAUCGGCGAUGUUGUAUUAUCUUAAUAACCUGCAUAUUACUGAUAGUAUUACUCACCUACGCUUAUUUAGCGAUGGGUGUGGGGGGCAGAAUAAGAAUUCUUAUAUUAUCUUUGUAUUAAUGUAUUGGUUGGUUAAAAAAUCGCCAUAUUCACUACAAUAUAUACAAAUCACAUACCCAGUACGCGGUCACAGUUUUCUCCCUGCAGAUCGCGUUUUCGGAAGAAUAGAAAAGACCAUGAAAGCACACCCUGUUAUAACUAAAAAGGAGGAAUAUGUUGACUUGCUAUCAGAACAUGGGAAGGUUCAUUAUUUAGGGGGUACAUGGAAAACUUACGACAUCAAAGGUCU